rnacentral:lncRNA from 1 species
AAAAGAUUUUAAUCGUAAAUGAGAGGAUUUGUUACGUAGAAAAAGGAAAAUAGAUUCGUAUUCACAUACAUAAAAAUUAUAUAGGAACAAGAAAACUCUUAGAUUACUUUUUGAAAAAGUAGAAAUCGAUUUUUUUGGAGUAAUAAGAUUAUUCCAAUUACAAUAUUCAUAAAAAAACAACCUUAAUAAGUGAAACAAAGGGGCAUCUUUAGCCCAGUAUCGAAAGACUUGAACCAAGAUUUCCAGAUGGAUAGGAUAGGGUAUUCGUGCAUCUGACACAUAAUUUAAAUAUGUUAAUUUAUCUUCGAAAAACGGAAAAAUGGAAUGAAUUGAUCGCAAAUUUUUAUAAUAUUUUAUGAUUUUUGACUCCUCUGAGGAAGAGUUUAAUUGUAGGGAAAGUGGAAUUUCCACGACGAUGGCAAAACCUUCUGAUAUUAUUUGAGAAUACAAAUUUUUAUUAUAACUCAAAAAUUGAUUUUUUUUAGAAUCAUUAGCCGAAAUAAUCAAGUGAUUCUGUUGAUCCAUUCGAGUAAUUAAACGUUUUACAAUUAGUAAACUAGAUUUAUUAUCAUAAUCUACAUUUUCCGAAAAAAUAGAUCCAUUAAAAUCAUGACCAUAAACGAGUCCAUAAAUAUACUCCCGAAAAAUGAGUGGGUAUAGGAAGUGCUGUUGGCGAGAGAUAUCUAGUUCUAAAUAUACUUGAUAUUCCUCCAUUUUUGACAUUCAAUUUGGUCAAACAAAGGAUCAGGGAUUCAUUAGAUUCUCAAAUAAUACAUAGUGCGAUACAGUCAAAACAAGGUAUUAUUAUUAUUAUAUAUUUGAAUAUUCUAAUUCGAAUAAAAAACGAAUAUGAAUAGAUACCUAGAAAACAAGUAAAAAAAAAAAAACCAUCAACGGACUCUUUCUCCUCGCUUUUUCCAUCGAAUCGUGUCGUGCUCUAGGAUAAGAAGCCAGUUAGAAAUCCUUUAUUUUAUCAGCGCAAUCGCUCUUUUGAUUUUUGGAAAAAAAAAUAUCUUUAUCAAUAUACUCUUUCUUGUACACAUUUAUCGCCAUCCCAUAAUGGAGAAUAGCUAUAUAGUUAGUACUAAUAACAAAAAUAAAUAAAAAAUAUAUUUGUGGCAAAAGCUUUUCCCACAUCAAGCACAAGUUGAUUUUUAACAUACAAUUAGAUGGGACAAUCAUUCAAAUAAAAAGGGAAAGCUGGUAAUAUUAUAUAAAUAUAUGAAUGAUAAAUUAUGUAUCAAUGGCACAUAGAAACAUAGGCGGAAUUAAUAGAAAUUAAAGUAAUAUAUUGAUAGAGACCCAAUCAGGCCACCCCAACCAAGACCCAACAGAUUGAAGCAAAUACCCACCUGGCUUAAGGACUGUGUUAUUAAUUAAAUUACAAUGUUUACUUUUAUGUUAUGAACUUUUCUGGGCUUGGAGCUACUUGAGCCCAACCUGUAAAAAUUAACCUGAUGUUGCUGAGUUAGUAUUUACCCCCUAUGGUUUGGAGGCUGAGGUAUCAAUGCAUGAAAGGAAAUAUAUGACUUACUUCUGCAGAUUUUUGUAGAAAAGCUCCAGGAGAACAAGGAUCAACAAGAUGCAAAGUAUGAGGCCAUUGUUGAAGCACUACGUAAUAUCACUGACAAACUCACAAAUAUCAUUUCCUUUUCUCUACCCUAAAUAAUGUUUUUAAAAUACAAAUAUCAACAAAAAGCAAUUAGAACUAGUCCUCACUUCAUUUGCAUAAUUAAAUGAAAAGGGUUGGAGUGUGUAACUAUAUAAUAAAUAUAGGAAUAUUAACAAUUACUCUCAUGUUCUUCUAUAUGUUGUUUAUAUUUUAUUUGAUUGAUAGAAGAAAGUCAGAAUAGGGAAAGAUGGAAGAGAGAUACUAAGAAUAUAAUUAAAACAAGAAAAACUAAUAUUAACUUGAACUUUGGAAACAACAUAUAAAUAAGAAUUCUUUAAAAAUGACACAAGGAAGGAAGGGAGUAGUAAUUACAAAAAUUAGGUUUCAGUUUUAAAAAUUAUUUUUAAGGAUAAUAAAUAAGAUAAAAGAUGGAAAGUCUUUAUUAGGAAGUAGUGUGUUUAAUCUAUUCAACAUUUAAAAUCAUCAUUUUCCAAUCUAUACUUUCCUAAGAUUAAGGGUGACAUUAUUAUUUCAUUUUUUCUCUUAAUGACAUUCUCUUGUUUUUAUCCAAAUGAAAAAUUGUUGAUUAAGAAAAUGGAUAGAGAUGAAAAUGAAGAGAAUCUCCAUAAUUUUUACUCCAAUGUUUUACAUUAUUUUUGAACAAUCUUUUUUAAAAAAAAUUAAGAAAGAAAAUAUAUAUGUUUCCUAAAAGAGAAAUUUAUACUGUAAUAUACAAAUUAUCUUGAGAAUUGAGAUAUGAAAAUCAUUGCUCGGUAAAAUUGCCAAUGAAGGUGCAUCUAUGAGAGGAGCAAUGAUGACAUGUCUUACAAAUUACUAUUUUCAUAUCCCAAAUCAAUUACAUUCCAUUAAAUGAUCUAAAAAAAAUAUUUUCUAUUUUUAUAAUUUAUAAUUUUAAUUAUAUGUCAAUUUUUGAUGAAAUUAGGAUAUAAAUAAAAUACUAAAAAUGAGAUAGGUGUAGUUUAUUCUUACUAGACACCCCAAAUCCUAAUAUGCGUGAUGUAGGAGUGGCCAACAAGAUUGGCCCACAAAAAGUUGAUGGACAUUAUACUUGAUGAGAUCCAAUUUGGACUCUAAGGGUUAGUUUGGGAGUUGGAUUUUGGAGGGGAAGGAAGGGAAAGGGAAGGCUUGGGAGUCAUCUCCCAAGUGUAUUUCAUGGCUCCCAAGCCUUCCCUUUCCCUUCCUUCCCCUCCAAAAUCCAACUCCCAAACUAACCCUAAAGGGAUGAAUGGUUGGGAAGAUGGAAAUGUAAGCUGUGUUAGGACUUGACCUGCAUGGAAAAGCUGAAAACUUUGGGUAUCAGAUACCAAAAUAUCAGCUAUGGAAACGUGGCUCUAGGAGCUUGAUUCAUUUUCCUUGCAACAUAUCUACACUUAGUUUUUAUAAUCUAUCAUGUAGUGUAAAAGAAUUUUUUAAGUCAUCUUUAUAUCAUCAAUUAUUCAUAUUUUAAUUAUUUUACUGAUGUUGAUUAACUCAUUUGAAUAGUGAUGGCUUAAGUGGUUAGUAAAAGGGUUAAUCUUUGAGUCUUUAUCUUGUAAUAUUUUAAGCAUUAUUGUGCUUAGUAUACCUAGCUGUUUAACCCGCUUUUGUGUAGUAUGGAUUUGUCUCUUGGUGUGAGAUCACCACAGAGAUUGAAAUUCUUCACCAAGGCUAGGAGGUCUUGAUUUGAGGAUAAGAAUCUUGGCUGGGGCUAGUUCUUCUCAAGAGGCGAAGGGUAGAGUCAAACCAAGGAUGUAUAGAUCAUAGAUUUCAUGAAGUGAGCGUCCUAUGUGCUUGUAAAUGAAUUGGUAUUUGUAUCCAUUUUUCAAUAUUGUGAAGAAAUAAAAUCUCCCUGAUCCAGAAGGGGAGGCCUGGAUGUAGUUUGCAGUGGACCGUAAACGAACCAGGAUAAAAAUCCUUUUUGCACUGUUCUUUCUCUCUUUUAUCUUCUUUAUGUUUCUUUCCAUUAUAAAUUGAAUCUGUAAUUGAAAAAUUGGAUAUUUGUUUACUACCAUAUACUUAAUAAUUGUGCGUAAAAAUAUCUGAAUUACAAAUAUCAUCUCGGAUAGAGACCCGUGCGUUACCUCGAAGUUCUAGAAUGGUUGGCAAACAACUUUGGGUACCAAGUUGAGUAUGCGUUCAACCUACCAUCCGCAGACUGAUGGUCAAUCAUAAAGGAUCAUUAAAUCAUUGGAAGAUCUUCUCAGAGCUUACGUGUUGGAGCAUUCGGGAAGCUGGCUCACUACCUACAUUUGAUUGAGUUCACCUACAAUAAUAGUUUUCAUUCCAGUAUUAGAAUGGCGCCAUACGAAGCUCUCUAAUGUAGAAAGUGUAGAACACUCCUAUGUUGGUUUGAGGCGGGAGAGAAUCUAGUGUUAGGACCCGAUGUAGUUCAACAGACGACGGAGAAAACUAGAAUGAUAAGGGAAAACAUGAAGACUGCACAGAGUAGACAGAAGAGUUAUUAUGAUAGGAGAAGAACCCCUCUAAGCUUUGAAGAAGGAGAUCAUGUGUUUAUGAGGGUGGUUCCAACAACUGGCAUUGGAAGAGUACUUAAAUCCCGUAAGCUUAUCCCUAGGUUCAUAGGGCCAUACCAAAUCAUUAGAAAAGUCGGACUGGUAGCUUACCGAAUAGCCUUGCCCCCUUUGCUACCAAACCUACAUAAUGUCUCCCAUAUGUCCCAACUCAGAAAAUACAUUAGUGACCCGUCGCAUGUCAUUGAACCCGAAUCAAUUCAGCUAAAGGAUAAUCUCACUUUCGAGACUUGGCCGUUGAGAAUUGCCGACCGGAGUGUGAAAACUCUGCAAGGUAAGGAAAUCGCCUUAGUUAAGGUGAUUUGGAGUCAGACGAAUGGAGAAGAUGCUACUUGGGAGGUCGAAACUGGCAUGAAGGAAUCAUUUCCCCAUUUGUUUUCUUAGAAGGUACGUUUAAUUUUCGAGGACGGAAAUAUUAUAAGUUGGGGAGGAUGGUAACACCGUGUUAAGGUAUUCUCUCUCUUUUUCUCUUCUCCAUUUUUCUCCACAUACACCAUGAGAAAAUCAUGAUCUCUUAGUAUGUUAUUCAUGGAGUUGAGUUUAUGUUUGUUUUCUUUAAAUAUUUUUUAAGUCAUGACUAAAGGGGAUGAUAAUGAAAUCAUAUGAACCUUUGUGUAGUUUUUGACUUAUGUAAAACUUAAAAUUUCUUCCUUGUUCUUAGAUGGAAAAACUAUAUCUUUGGACAAGGUUAGAUGAGUUUAUUUGCUUUAGAAAUAUUCGAAAUUAUUGUUAGUAUUUGAAUGUGUUUAAAGGUGAUGAUUUGAACAUCAAAGGAANNNNNNNNNNNNNNNNNNNNNNNNNNNNNNNNNNNNNNNNNNNNNNNNNNNNNNNNNNNNNNNNNNNNNNNNNNNNNNNNNNNNNNNNNNNNNNNNNNNNAAAGGUUGUUUAGCAUAUGCUAUUCUUUGAUUUCCAAGUUAAAGUAAUGAUUUGGGAUAAAAGACGAUUUAUUAAAGUCUUGACGUCAUAAACUUAAAGUAUUAUGAAGUUUUGGAUAAUAAAUUAGUAAAAGUGUUAACUUAUGAUUUAUAGUUCAUGACUAUGAAAUCAACACCUAUUAACCCUUGAGGUUAUCCUAAUAUUUGGAGGUGUUGAGAUGAUCAUGAAAUUAGUUGUGUUUUCUUUAGUAGCAUACUUUAAAUGAGGAUAUUGACCUAAAAAGUCUGGACUUNAUCUAAAGUGUUAUGAAGUCUUAGAUAGAAAAAUGAUUUAAAAGUGUUGAUCUUGGUUAAGUUAGCUUACUUUAAAGUGGUAAGAUUGACUUAAAAAGUCUUGAUUUAAAAGUAUUGAUUUUGUUUAAGUUGACUUACUUUAAAAUGGUAAGUCUACCUUAAUAAUCUUACUUAAAAAAGUUAAUCUUAAUAAAAAUGUUUUACUUGCAAAAGAUAAGUUUUAUGAAUAGUUAUAAUUACCGAGAAAAUGUAAUGAAGUGGAAAUACAUGCCUAGAAAAGUUCUGUCUAAGGAAAGACUUGGUAUUUAAGUGUGUCUUUACGAUCCACCUCUCUUUCCUGGGAACUAACAUGGUGUAUAUCCACAAAUUAUGACAUAAUUCUGUUAUAAGUUUUGUUAAAACUUUACUUUAGAAAGUGUCGUUGUGUUGUAAGACUUUCAAUGAUAAAUGAUGAUUCAAGAAAUAUCUAACCUUGAAUCGGAGGAAUGAAAGCGAUUAAGUUCAUUUUAGAUCAGAAGUUUUAUUUUUGCAUAAAAUUUUAUUUCGUAAGAUUAAUAAUUAUCAAAGUGACCUAAUUAGCGUUAUUUUGAUUUUAGCAUGAUGAAGAGUUCAAGAAGAGACUCGACGAAUUAAGCUCACCUGGAAUCGAGGAAACAAUCUUCACGACACACUCAGGUGAGGGAGAAAACAUCGUGACACAGUAGUGUCCGAAUAUGGUUCAGGACCUCCAAACUCCCUCACAAGUUUGUACUUAAUCAAUUGUCUGUUUUGUUUGGAUUAAGUACAACAAUAUUUCUUAUGCCGAAUUAUGUUAGGUUAUGUUUAUGUAUGAAGAUGCCAUGAUUAUUCCUGUUUAAUGUUGCUUGAAUAACUUUUCUAAGAAUUAUAUGUAUGAGAUAAUUGUUAAAUUCAAGGCUUAAAAACAUGUGUUAUAAAUGAGAAAACUUUUCAUUGAGAAAAGAAAUUUAACUAAGUUUCAGGCUUUUCUCGCUUGAUCGAGACAGCUCUCGCUUGAGCGAGAAGUGUCCAGAGAAAAUGAGUUUCCUCGCUUGGGCAAGACAGCUCUCGCCUGAGCUGAAAUAUGCACAAAGAAAACUGGUUGUUUUCUUGCUCUAGCGAGACAGCUCUCGCUUGAGCAACAUAUGCCUUAUAAAAAUGGUGAUUCCCUCGCUUGAGCAAGACAGCUCUCGCUUGAGCGAGAAGGCUCCAUACAGACAAGACUUCUUAAAGUCGUCUGAACGAUAACUCUCACAUGUGCGAGAGUCUAAUGGCAUUUUUUCCAUCAAGAAUCCAUUCACUUCCAAUCCUAUUCAAUAAAACCUAAAACACCUUUAUUGGAGAUAAUGUUCUUUCAAUAAGUAAAUGUUGUAAAGAUGAAUGAUUAUAUGAAACUCUUGGAAACGAUACAAAUAAGAGUUGUCAUAUCUAAAGUGAUGUUUGUAAAGAAUUGCAUGGUUAAGGACGAGGCCCGCAAGUAUUAUAUUAUGCCCACGCACCGAGAUCGUCUGAUCGUAAGAGGCUUGGCUUGAGAGCCGUCCAGGGUGAUUCAGCGAUGGUUUGUAGUGGUGCUGAGAAGUGUUAUAUGCCCAUGCAGCGAGAUCGUCUGACCAUAAGAGGCUUGGCUUGAGAGCCGUCCAAGGUGAUUCAGCGAUGGUUCGUAGUGGUGCUGAGGUUUAUUCUAUGUGGUUUAAAUGUUAAGAUCGGGUUCCACUAUAAGCAUUCCCGAUGGGAGAUGUCUUAGGAUGGGCAGAUCGUUAUAAAAGAUGGAUUAAAAUAUUUAAUUUACUAAUUUCGGUUAGUGUGCAUAUUCAUUGUGAAUAAUGAAGUAGUGGAGAGGAAAUUUACGGGAGACGAACGAGCUCCGAGAUAUUGAGAGGGACGGCGAUGGCGGUGAUUCGUCAGCAAAGUCUUGAGGGAGAGUCUAGGUGAGACGAGUCCCGUGUAUUCUUGGAUGAGGUGUUCUAUUGGAUCGGACAGUGCUCACAAUACAAACUAGACGAUCUCUAACAACCCCUCUUUGCAAUCAGGAUCGAUAAGAGGGAUGCCCAGAAAGUGUUUGAUAUGUCACCAUCCUGAAAUAGACAGUUUCGUUGGAACAGAUCGAUCAUAUAUAUAUCCUUGCGAAGAAUAAGUUUUGGUGCGAUCAAAUUGGCUUGUUAUGGGACCUGUACUCUCGGUUAUUUCCGAAUAGUUAUUGAGAGGAUAAUGUGUAAGGAUGGUGGACAUAUGCAUACAUGGUAUUUAUCGAUAUUGAUUCUAAAAUCAUAAGUUUUUGCUUCAUUCAUCAUUAAUACAUGUGUGUAUGAUCAUAUGAUAUAUCUAUACUUGUUCUUUGUCUUGGUGUGAUAUUUUGUGUAAUUCCACGACGUCAAUGAUAAGUUUUUCAUUAGAUGUUUUACUCUCUCUCUUUCUUUCUGGUGUACUCGUAUACAUCCAUGUUUAGAUGGACAAAUCAGCGAUGAUCAGGGGCUACCACUUUACCAUGUCCCACGAGGGGGCAUGCAGUGUUGAAGGAAAUAGAUACACCUACACUAGUCCUUGUGACCUGGAAUUGGAUCUCCUAUGUGAUGGCUCUAUGUUGCAUCUCCCGCCACAUUAUGCAGUUCGAGAAGCAUCGUUCACCCUACCAUAGCAAAGG